AUUUUCAGUUCGAGCAUUUAGAAGGGACUUGCAGAUUUGAAGAAACGAUUUGUUUGUAUAAUUAUUUCUUCCCUUGUAUAUAAUGUAGAGUAGGGUCACACAAAUUGUAGCAAUAGCUGAGGGUACUAGAGGCAGGAAGUCAGAUAAGACUGUGCAGGACAAGACUUGUGGAAAUAUCAGCAGUAGGAAAUCGAGAAGGAAGUGGGCAAUCCAUGAUUGUCUUCUCUCACCGUAUUUUUGAUGAUAGUAAACAAGAACCAAACCUCUACAAAUGAUGCACAAAGGAGCCACAGUCAAGCCCACUGAGAUUUCUGUAAUUGUAGUUCCAUUCAGGUUGCUUAUAAAGGCUUCUUUCAGUUGGUUUGUGGCCAUCUUUUUUUCUGUAGCCUGUGAGGA